rnacentral:rRNA from 1 species
UACGGAGGAUCCGAGCGUUAUCCGGAUUUAUUGGGUUUAAAGGGUGCGUAGGCGGCCUAUUAAGUCAGGGGUGAAAGCCGAUCGCUUAACGAUCGAACUGCCAUUGAUACUGCUAGGCUUGAGUAUAGUUGAGGUAGGCGGAAUUGACAGUGUAGCGGUGAAAUGCAUAGAUAUUGUCAAGAACACCAAUUGCGAAGGCAGCUUACUAAAGUAUAACUGACGCUGAGGCACGAAAGUGCGGGGAUCAAACAGG